rnacentral:lncRNA from 1 species
GUAGCGCUCCUUCUUGGGAUCCGCUAGCUGUGAGGUCCCUGUGCGGCUGCUGAGCGGGCGGCNGGGCGGCUGGAGGCGCUUGGCGGCUUCCGGCCAACCCACUCCUCUCCCGCGCGAGGGGGUAACCCCGGCCUCACCAGGAACAUCGAGCCCAAAUCAACCAGGAGUUACACUCAAAGUCUUCCCCCGUCUUUCCACUCCACCCGAUUUCUCUUUUCCUUUUUCCACUCCUCCACUCUUUCCUACCGGAAACGCUACCCUUUCCUCCUACAGUUCCGCCCGCCAGUCCCUCAACUCUAGUCUUCCCUCGCGCCCCGGAGUGUGACGCUAAGAACCCCCUCCCCCUGUCUGCGGCCCCUCCCCCUGCACCCCAGGAGGCUGUUGGAGGGGAUGGGGUGGAGCCCAGGGAGGAAGAGAAAGGAAACCAAUCGGAUUGGAUAAGCAGCUGCCAUGGCAACUGGAGGCUGUGGUUGUAUUGUCAUAGUAACCAAUGUGUGCGGACUGGGUGACCCUCCCUUGGCGAAUGGAUUCCCGGGAAAGUGCCCAGGGUUCCCCCUUGGCUUCCCUUCCGUCUAAAGGCCUCCCCCAGGUUGGGAAUCCGGGUGAUCUACUGGGCGGUGAGGUUCAUUUCCUCUUCCCUUUCCCCUUCCCGCAACAAUGAGGGGGGCCCCAAGGCAUUCACCGUGGGCUUUUCCACCCGCCUGCGGGCUGGAACCACCUCCAGUUUCCUCUCAGUGCCGGGCGUGGAGAGGGCCGGGCCUGCGAGGAAGACGCCGGGCCUGAAGGCUAGCGAGCUGCGGACUGGAACAAGGAGGGCGAGGCGGCGGCGCAAAGCUUCGGGCGGGCGAGGGGUUUCCCCAGGACUGCCUCCGGCUCAGAGAGGCGGGGGNNNNNCCCGCCAGGACGGGGUCCCUAAGGGAGGAGAACGGCACACGACGACCCAGAUUCCUCUCCUGCCGGGCAGGGACCUCCUUAGACUUUUCCUGGUGGGUCGACCCCUUACGGAAAUCCCCCAAAGCUCACCCGAUAACACACCCUCGGCAACCGAGCCACCUCCUGCCGCGGGGAAGCCAGAGUAAAAGUAGGAACAUCCUAGAAGACUAAUAAGUGGUUUUCUAGCGUUUAGAGCCAGGGACGUGGUGAGACGCCCUCCCUCCCGGAGGCAUCCCCCCAGUGGGGGUCCCACUUGAUUAUCGAAGACUUUCCUGUGAGGUCCUCCCUCUGCAGACUUCUCUGAUGGGUCCGCUCAGUUUUAGAAUUUGUCACUGUAUCUUUUGGGUCGGAGAGGGAAACGUUGGGUAAAAAUAUCGAGAACUUAGAUACUGGCGCGGUGAAAUAGUACAAUGAAGAACCUAGAUACUGGCGCGAAGUUCCGAGGAAAGGCAUUUAGGAAGAGGAUUUUCAUUCUUAAAACAUUUUUCUGAAAGUCUAUUAUGUGUAUUUUAUGUCAGGUUUGGGGUUAAAAACCUGAAAUAAGGAAAUGGGUCAAUAAUAACAUGGAGUGUGAGAAGCAACUGGAGAAAUGGUAAUUCUAAUGGCUUGAAGGACUUAUUUGACAUUUUACAAAUCAUUUCGAUUCAUCUUCUACGCAGCUGUUUCAAAGUACUUUAGACAGUGCAACUGUAUAACCUCCCCCCACCCUCCACCCAACCAGGACUGUAGCCCUUACUAGCGAGUUUAAAUCAGGAUUUUAAUGGGCUGUUUUAGUUUAGCUCGGUUUGAGUAACUGAUUCCUGCUGUCUUCCAUGCUAGGUGAGGAGGAACUUUCAAGAUCCUUCCCUGAGACCACACCCUAUUAAAAGACUAGACCAAUGUUUUUUUGGAACAUCAUGUAUGCGUUUAGAGAAAAUGAAAGUACAGGCCACGCUGAAACAAAUCGGAAGAAUAGAUUAUCUUUAACGAAAUAGAAACUAACCUAUGCCCCUCCUGCCGUCAGCGCCUACUGUGCUGCCGUGUGAGGCAUGGUGAUUGCAGCUGUACAAUGCCCCCUGUGAUGCCUCACUGCACCAACGCGCCACCCACUCACGGAAAAGAGAGCCACCUAGUGAAAUACUGUUCUCAUCUCUGGUGUAGGUACUUCCUUUCCGUCAACUCUAGAGCCCAAGGAUGGACAUUACUACCACAUAUUACCUAAAAUACCCUACAUGUCUUUGCUGAAAUGCACUGCUAAUCAUCACAGUUAACACCUUUUAAGUCUGUGGCUCAUAAUAUCCAGUAAACAGUGUUCGAGCAUAUGUCAUGACACUUCUGAUAAGCAAUCUAGGAGAUUAUUACUAUCUUCUCAUUUUGGAAAUAAGAAAACUGGGAUCAGUAAGAUGAAUCCUUUUGUUGUGUUUUCUACAAACAUUUACUGCGCAUCUAUUACUUUUCAGGCUCUGUCCAGGUUACUGUGGAUAUCAUGGUAAAAGAGGCAUUGUCCCUAUCUUGGAGAAACCCACCUUCUGGUAGAGAUAUCAGAGAAUGGAGAAGUGAUAAGAAUGCAAGAUGAUGGGUGCAGUAAUUAAGGUCAGAACAAAGUAUCCCAGGUACACAGAUGAGGAUCAGAAAUACAAUCUUUGGGGGCGCCUGGGUGGCGCAGUCGGUUAAGCGUCCGACUUCAGCCAGGUCACGAUCUCGCGGUCCGUGAGUUCGAGCCCCGCGUCAGGCUCUGGGCUGAUGGCUCAGAGCCUGGAGCCUGUUUCCGAUUCUGUGUCUCCCUCUCUCUCUGCUCCUCCCCGUUCAUGCUCUGUCUCUCUCUGUCCCAAAAAUAAAUAAACGUUGAAAAAAAAAUACGAUCUUUGUAUUUUAUAUCAGCUUUCCUAAGAAUUUUGUAAGAUUCUUCAAUAGCUUUACAAUGCCCCUACAAACUAGGUAGAAUUGUAGCGUUUACGUCUUAUAGGUUGUAAGACACCAAUGCCCAUCUUGAAAAUAACUUUUGAAAAUCAAUAAAACUCAGAAAAAUUAUGGCCCAGAUAUUAUACAUUGCUUAAUGUACAUUUUCCAAUCUCGUCUCUUUCUACUGCUCUCCAUCAAAAGAUAUGUAGAAUAUAAGCUUCUGUAAUAAUAGCUUUUAUUCAUUUCAUUCCCCUGCAGAUAUAGAUUACAUCUAAACCAAAAGAAAUUAAAGAGAAACUCUUAAUCCUACCUGAUUUAAGUUUUUCGUUUGUACCCUAGUGAUUUUUUUGGAAAGAUCAAAAGCUAGCAGACCUGAGUGUGCCUUUCAACUCUUCACUCUCAGUCUCUAACCUUCGGUUUCUUCCUUGACCAAAAUGGAAAUAGGCUUCCUGUGAACUUUAAUGAUGAUAUAUGUGACUGAGUAUAACUGACAUAUAACAUGGGCACUUGAUAAAUGUUAAUUUUCUUUUUGCUCUCAUAUUCCUUUAUAUCAAGCUAAAAGGAAUAAUUUAGAACUAUUGCAGCAUAAAGUCAUUUUUUUUAAAUGGUAGCUUCUCUAGUCUUUGUGAUACUCAUAGGUCUGACCACACACCCAAAUCUUUUCUCAUUCAGUGCUAAAAGAUAGAUUUCUUUACCCAUGAUUCUGAUCACAAAGAGAAUACAGUAUCAGGACAUUGUGAGUCAGAUUCUACAGGGUUGAAACUUUUAAAUAGCCUUUUGUUGCUAAAAAUAGCUUGAUAUGACUGCAUUUUGGCCCAAGUAAACAGUGUCCAGUUUUCAACCACACAGCAAGUACUUCCUGAGAAGCUACUCUUAACAUUCCUGCCACAUUUACCCAGAGCUUCAGUAACCUGAUAAUUAAUACACAGCAAGCCUCCUCCCUUUUUUAUAAUAAUAGACAAUCUCACCUGAUCCAUGAAACCAUAACAAGCACUAAUUUAUUUUCAUCUUUAGCCUACAUAUUCUGCAUGUUUCCAAAUCAUGUGCAUAAUUAGGUACUUAAUAAAUGUGUUUCUAUUUUGAUGAGUAGAAUGACUUAACUACAGCAGUCAAGUACACAAUGUAUGUAAAGCAGGUCCAUGCUGUCUUCAGUACCACACCUCAGACCAUGGAACCAAGUGAUUCAAUCAAAAGAGUGAUUCAUUCUCUUCAAAUAGUGAGUCAGAUAAAAAUGACAUUUCAACUCAGGUCUGUUGCUCAAGAUUUCAUAGACCAAAGGUUAGCAGCCUUUCUCAAACAGUUUGCCAAGUAUUUAUUUAUUCAUUCACUCCUUCCAGGGAGUCACGGAGCCUGAAAAACAAUCAGGAAGACUUGCAGUCCAAGACCCUAGAGAAAAAACUUGUGGUUUUGGAGGCACUGAGGUACCAGAGAAUGGUAGUCAGAGUGCAUUCUCCUUCUCCAUUCUCCUAAUAUUGACUUAGGGGAAACUUAUUAAUCUUCAAGAAUUUCUCCCAAUUCCCAAUUAGAAAAUACCUCUGGGAAAGAACCACACCUUAAAAUCUUAUCUGCUAAUUUAAUGGACACCAACCAUCUGGAGAAGACAAGAAGAAAUUCUCCUAGGGAAAAUUGAAGAGUAUUAAAAAAGAAAACUGAAGUUAGCCUCUUUAGUCUCUUAUACUCUAUAUUGUCCAAAAGCUAUAGUGUUCAUGGAUGUCUUUACUACUACAAGCACAGUACUUCAGAAGCCAUCCUGGUAUCCCUAGUUUGACAUCAGUGUGUUUCAUGUCAAAAUCUGUUAUGUUACCCGGAAGCUGCCAUUUUUUUCCUAAAACACUCAACUAAAAGAAAAAAAAAAUCUCUUACUAUUUUAUAGUCUGUACCUCCUUAAUUUCUGUAGGGCAGACUACUAUUUUUGAGAACAGAGAAUGUGAUACAGAUAUUCUUUGCCAUAAAUCUGCUCUUCUUCAAAACCAUGGGAAACCACAUGUGGCCACACAUGUGCAUGUACACAUGCACACCUUCUUUUCCCUGUCUUUAUUAUUUUACCACCUCUAUUUGCAAUUCGAGUUAAGAUAUGAUAUAGAUGGAAAGUAAAGAAACUCAGGAUGUCAUUUCAAGUCAUGCUAAGGAUACAUGCCCAAGGAUUGUUCUGCUUUGCUUAAUUACUCUAGGGUCUUUGCCAUCUCAGAAAAAUUCUACAUGUCAGAAUCUAGAGAGUUUGCCCCAUAUUAAUAAAAAUUCCUACUCUCAUUGGAUUGCUAGAUGUAAGAGCACAUUCCAGAACAAAUUGAAUAGUAAAUUAAUAUAUUUUUGUAUUCUACAUAUUUGCCAUAUUAAGCCUUAAAAAUUUUUUUUAUCUUCUGGCUUAAGUUCUCCAUUCGUUUUCCAUUACCCUUACAAUAAAGUCCUCCAUCAUUAGGAUGACCUACGUGGUCUGGCCCUUGCCUGCCUCUUCUCUGACACUUCCUGGUGUCACCAUUCUAGCCACACUGACCUUCUCUCAGGUCUCUCAGUGGGCAGCAGUCUUUUCUACUCAGAGACUUUACACAAGCUGUUCCCUUCUUUCUCUUGGACCACUCUUCUUCCUUCUCAUGCUUUAAGCCUAAACCUGAACGUCUUUGGAAAAACCAUCUCUACCCACCCAAUCACAAUGGAUUAGCUACAUCUCUUACAUAGUCCCUCAGCACCUUUCCCUUCCUUCUUCAUGGCAUUUUUCAGGAUCGUAAUUCUUUUUGUUCAAUGUCUGUUCCCUCCAGUUGACUCUGUAAGUUCUGUGAGGGCAGACACCAUGACUGUUUUGCUCACUUCCCUAACAGGAUGCCUGAUACAAAGGUGCUCAAUAAAUUGUUGUUAAAUCAAUUAAUCUUGGGGGAAAAAAUAGAAAUUUAGACCAUGACUUUCAUAUAAAUGCUUAAAAUUCCUGACCACCUAACUACAGAACAUAGAAGCAAUCCCUAAGCAAUAAAAAAAAGAACUUCCCUGGGCCUUCAACCCACCUGGGGCACUGAAAUCUGCUAUAUUUAACAAAAUGAAAGUUUUAAUUAAAUGAAAUUUACUUAGGCAAUGAAUAAAGAACACAUUUACAAUUAUCUUGCAGCUCAUCAAUUAUCUUGAUGUAACUCAUCAAUUAUCUUGCAGCAAAGUCCCAUACUUCAGUGUAGAGAAAGAAGUCUUCAAUAUCCAAAUCAUUUUUAUUUAACUUUUAUGCUCUCAGAUUUGGGAAUAGGGAAAGCAGUCAACCCUUUUAUUGUGUGACAAAAUAAAAACACUCCUAGGGGAGGCUGGCAAGACAAAAAAGAGGAUAUCAGCUAAUUGGUAAAUAGGAUAGAAAAAUUAGAUUUAAAAAUUCAGAAAGAAAAGUGAUUCAGAGAAUAGAAUGGAAAACUCAGUGAUCUUUGUAUCUCUCACCAGACAGAGAGAGACAGAGCAUGAGCAGGGAAGGGGCAGAGAACGAGGGAGACACAGAAUCUAAAGCAGGCUCCAGACUGGGAGCUAUCAGCGCAGAGCCCGUUGUGGGCCUUGAACUCACUGACCAUGAGAUCAUGACCUGAGCUGAGGUCGGACGCUCAACUGACUGAGCCACCCAGGUGCCCCAUUAUUGUUUUGUUUUGUUUUUUUCUUGUGUGUUGGGAUAAGGCUAAAUAAAUUGAAUAAGUUUGCUAAGGAAGGGGCCACAUGCAGUUUCACUGUAAGUGAUAUAUUGAAAUUGUUUCUGGUGGCAGACUGUCCAAUUUCAGUUAGAUAUUGUCUGUACCAUACCUAGCAGUACAAGGCGCUUCGUAGGCACUCAACAAGCAGUGCUGCUGUUAUUACGCAUAUGGGGUGAAUCAGAGCUUCACUCACUCAACUUCACACUCUAAUUAACGUAGGUUAAGCUUAUUUUUAAAAAACAAACACGAAAUGUAGAUUUGCUUUUGUAGAGAGAAAGGUACUAGCAAAAUCAUAUGACCAGCUGUAUUACAUGACCAAGUAUAAAUUGCCAAGAAGGACAACAGCUUUCAUCUCCUUACAGAGGAUGUCUCAGUUCAUUAGCAGUUUUUUGUUGGAAUGAGAUGAGAUCCAAGGUCCCUCAAAGCUGAAGAGGGUAAGGAGGCUCCUAGGGAGCAAAACCAGCUGCUUUUGCUUUCCCUGCCCUCUUACAAACUAACAUCCCUGGAAUGGCUCUCAGGCUCAGUCUCUCAACCAAUGGCUGUAAGCUUUCUGUUAUACUGCUCCCACCAAGUGAUCCAGUCCUUUGUCCAAAAGGACAUGCAUGGUUUUAGCUCUUUAACAAUGUCCCUGUGGUGGAACCAAGCCUAUAGUACAUGCCAAAUGUUGGAAUGCCAAUAUUUCCAAAAUGUAGGCAGCAGUGGCCUAGAUGUUACAGGAGGUUAUUAGCUGUAGAAAGAACUUGAAAUUAAUUUUCUAUAAGUAUUCAUGGGACAGCCUGAUUUUAGCAUUAAAGCACAGUAGGAGUCUUAGGUUGAGUUAUAAGUUUAAGGUCUAUGAGGAACAUUCAACCGAUGAUCAAUUCUUAAUCUUUCACUGUUAUUUCAAGAUAAAUCUGAACUAGGGGCCCUUGAGUGGUUCAAUUGAUUGAGCGUCCGACUCUUGAUUUUGGCUUAGGUCAUAAUCUCAUGGUUCAUGAGUUCGAGUCCCAUGUCAGACCCUGCGCUGACAGCAUGGGGCCUGCUUCUGAUUCUCUCUCUACCCCUCCCCCACUCACAUUUGGUCUCUCUCAAAUAAACUUAAAAAAAUAUUAAAAAAAAAAGACAAAUCUGAACUAAAUUUACUUCUGAGAACCUUAAUCUGGAUAUAUCCUGAUACUAAGGAGAAAACUUGUGGAGUUGUGGAUCCUCUAGAAUUUUAGUAUUUAGUUAUUUGUUCAUUCAUUUAAUCUUCAAAAAUAUAUAGAGAAUUUUCUGUGUUGGGUCAUGCGCUCAUCACUGGGGUAGAGAUGGUGAACAGUACAGUCUUGCUCUCAAAGUUUAGAGCACAACUAAGUAAAGGGGUAGUUAUAUUACAGAGUAAUAAUCUGUGGUAGAGGUCUUUGGAAUCAUUCCACCUUGAGAUCAGGUGCAGGCAUGAAAUCAGAUAACCCAUUUACAUGUCCCAGUCCACUACAAAGUCCUUGAGAAUGAGAUUUUGCAGAGUUAACUUUUCCAAAUUCUAUUACUUAGCAGGAAAAGGAAUAUAUACAGUUUAACUGUCCAGAAAAGUGAUGGAAAACUGUAGACAAAAGUAUUUUAGACUACAAUAUACCUGAGAGAUACAAAAACACAUAUAUGAAGUAUGACUACAAAACAGAAUUGCAUAGAAAGUAGUCAGAAAUACAAUACAAUAUUAAUAGCAGUUAUUUCUGUGAGGCAAACUAUUUAUGGGUGGCUUUUAUUUCUCACAUGUGCCAGUAUCUCCCAUCAACCAAAGAGUAAUAAAGUAGAUUAGAUGGUUGUUGUUGCUAUUAUUGUCAGGAGUUUCAUUUUUUGUCAUUGUUUUUUAAAGAAUGCCUGAGCUAUCCACAACAUUACAGGAGUUUAAAAGGAACAUUAGAAAUUGAAAAAAAGGGGCGCCUGGGUGGCGCAGUCGGUUAAGCGUCUGACUUCAGCCAGGUCACGAUCUUGCGGUCCGUGAGUUCGAGCCCCGCGUCGGGCUCUGGGCUGAUGGCUCGGAGCCUGGAGCCUGUUUCCGAUUCUGUGUCUCCCUCUCUCUCUGCCCCUCCCCCGUUCAUGCUCUGUCUCUCUCUGUCCCAAAAAUAAAUAAACGUUGAAAAAAAAAUUAAAAAAAAAAAAAAAGAAAUUGAAAAAAAGACAGAUGAAAGAUAAAUGUAGUAGGUUCUCACAUCCUGGUGAUUGAAACAAAGAUCAUAUUAUAAGCAAUUCCUAAGGCAUUUCCUAAGGCUCACCCCAAUGCACUAUCAGGUACUGAUACUUUCAUACAAACAAAAACUGAUGGGGGUGUUCGUGUUUGAAAUGCAUCAUGACUGACCCUCUUUGGUAAUUUUGAGUCCAGUGGGAACCAUAACAGCCUGAGAAAGAUGGAAUUCCCUAGAUGGGAUUUACAAAAGAAACAUUUUAAGUAAAAAAUAUCCAAAAUUAAACCUUGGCUUAACCUUUCUGCCUUUUUACCUUUAUAUUACUCUUCUCUUCCAUCAACUUUAGGUCACACCUCUGACUCCUCUAGUUAUGUAUAACCUGCCUUUCCACAUUUCUCUGGAAUGUGACCAGUCAGGAAUCUCAGCACUGUGCUUUUUUUUUUUUUUUCUUUUCUAUUUAUGGGUGAGAAAGCAAAAGAGGCAAAAGAACAUCAUCAAGUCUGGAGGAAGAGGAAGAAUUGAUGGAUGAGCAACGAAGUACACCCCCUGGUGGUAGUAAUAGUUCUUAGAUACCUACCUAUUAGAAUCUACUUUCCAUGAGAGACAUUAAGAAGAGAUUAGAUCCCCAAUCUGAUUAAAAACAAGAAAGGUGACCUCUAAAAUAUACUUUGAGGGGCACCUGGGUGGCACAUUUGGUAAACGUCCAACUCUUGAUUUCAGCUCAGGUCAUGAUCUCAUGGUUCGUGAAAUUGAGCCCUAUCUUGAGCUCCAUGCUGACAGGGCAGAGUCUGCUUGAGAUUCAUUCAUUCUCUCUCUCUCUCUCUCUCUCUCUCUCUCUCAAAAUAAAUAAACUUAAAAUAUAUAUAUAGACUUCCAAACUCAAUAAUCUCUGUCUUCUGCAUGAGACAUCUCUCGUCUUGCUGCCUAUAAUCUGUGACAGUUAGAGAUGAUUCCAUAUAAUGAUACAGAUGAAGGAGGCUGGUAUACACCAAAAGAAAUUGUGUAUUGCCAUUUUAAAUUGAUAUUCUCUAAAACAAAAGGUAUCAUCUGAAUUUAGCCUAUCACUACAAAGUGGAAAUGUCACCCUACAACAAACAAACAGGGACACCUGGAUGGCUCAGUCGGUUAAGCAUACUACCUUGGCCCAGGUCAUGAUCUCACGGUUAGUGGGUUUGAGCCCCAUGUUGGGCUCAGUGCUGAUAGCUCAGAGCCUGGAGGCUGUUCCGGAUUCUGUGUCUCCCUUUCUCUCUGCCCCUACCCUGCUGGCUCACUGGCUCGCUUGCUCGCUCUCUCUCUCUCCCUCUCUCCCUCCCUCUUUCAAAAAUAAAUAUUAAUCAAAUUUAAUACUUUUUUGUAAUUUUAAAACAAAAAAUACAAAACAUUACAAUCCAGGCAGUUGCUAAACUGCUAUCUACUCCACAGAAAGUCCUUUUUUACCUCUCAGGUAACUGAAAUCAUAGAGAACCAAAUCUAAAAAUCUCUUGUUUUUAUUUUUUUCAAACUUUAUGUUCCACUAGGCAAUAUGAAUCCUAUUUUCUUUACUGCAACUAUUUUUACCUUGAAUCUAGUGACAUUUCAAUUUUAAAAAAAAUUUACCACCUAAUCCUAUCUUUAAUACAUGUUAUCGCUAUGACUCUAGUGAUACCUAAUAAAUAACUGUAAAAAUUCCUUAAAUUAAAAUAGAAUGACAAGACUUAGCCACUUAUUGGAUGUGAGGGAAGAAGAGGAAGAAAUCAAGGAGAUUCCCAGGUUUCUGCUUGGGAAACUAAAUGAAAAUAGAAAACAUAAGAAAUCAGUUGGAGAGAUGUAUGGCUAUGAAGAUAAAAAUUUGUUUUAGACAUAUUGAACUGCAGUUGUCUGGGGUUGAGAAAGUCUUGUGGAUCUGGAGCAUCUGAGGGAAAUCUGAGCCAAAGUUGUAGAUUUUGAGUCAUUAGCAUGAAGAUGGUAAGAAAAGAUACUUGAGGGAUUUCAGAAAGAUUGCCUAUGAAAUGAGAGAGCUAGGAGAGGCUUUGUCUUAUAAAGAGGGGAGAGACUUCAGCAAGAAAGGAUCCAGAACAGAAAAUAAUAGAUAAGAGAUGCUAAGUAGACAGGAGCAUGGCUUCUGAGGAAACAGAAGAUAGAUUCAGCACACAAGGGCAGAAAGGGGAAAUCUCUUUUCUAGUAAAAUAAUAACGAGAUUGUAAUUGUGGGGUUUUCCUCUCCAUACUCUCACUCCUAUUUCUUUUAUCUCAUGUCCUUAUGGAUUUUAAAACUUAAGGUUACAAGAUCUCAUAGACUAAAGAAUCCAGGACAAAGACUGAUGAUAUAAGGCUAAAGCUUUCAGCACCGGAAUAUAUAAACAAUUCCUCUAAUUGCCUGCAGAAAAUCAGAGAUGAGAGCAAAACACAAGGAGACAUUGUAUUCUGCCUCCCACCUGAAACCAGAAGCCCUGAGGAGAUUUAUAGAUAUUCUAAAUAGGUUUAUGGCAUUUGAGAAUAGAACAAAAACCUCAAUCCCCAUAACUACACAAAGCCGAAGAAGGUAGCAAGACCACAGAGUUCCUCGCAUCCACACUGGCACAGGAAAAUAGUUAAAACAGUAUUGUGAGCUCAUGCUUUGAAUUUCUACAUCUUCAAGAACUGCAAUCAUAAAAACAUUUUUUUUUUUUAAUUAAAAGACAUCUCUGGGUUCAUUAGCAAGAUUAUUAUCUCUGGACAUCAGGAUUGAAUGAGCAACACAACUGGGUUAAUGA